AACGAACGCUGGCGGCGUGCCUAACACAUGCAAGUCGAGCGCGAACGAUUCCUUCGGGGAUCUAGUAGAGCGGCGAACGGGUGAGUAACGCGUGGGUAACCUGCCCUCUGGUGGGGAAUAACUUCGGGAAACUGGGGGCUAAUGCCGCAUCAGCUCCUCGUCCUUGCGGGGACUUGGAGGAAAGCAUGCCUCUGCUUCAAGCAUGCGCCAGAGGAGGGGCCCGCGUCCCAUUAGCUUGUUGGUGGGGUAAUGGCCUACCAAGGCGACGAUGGGUAGCCGGCCUGAGAGGGUGUCCGGCCACACUGGGACUGAGACACGGCCCAG
rnacentral:rRNA from 1 species